CCUACGGGUGGCAGCAGUGAGGAAUAUUGGUCAAUGGACGAGAGUCUGAACCAGCCAAGUAGCGUGAAGGAUGACUGCCCUAUGGGUUGUAAACUUCUUUUAUAAAGGAAUAAAACGAGGCACGUGUGCCUUUUUGCAUGUACUUUAUGAAUAAGGAUAGGCUAACUCCGUGCCAGCAGCCGCGGUAAUACGGAGGAUCCGAGCGUUAUCCGGAUUUAUUGGGUUUAAAGGGAGCGUAGAUGGGUUGUUAAGUCAGUUGUGAAAGUUUGCGGCUCAACCGUAAAAUUGCAAUUGAUACUGGCAGUCGUGAGUACAGUUGAGGUAAGCGGAAGUCGUGGUGUAGCGGUGAAAUGCUUAGAUAUCACGAAGAACCCCGAUUGCGAAGGCAGCUUACUAAACUGUGACUGACAUUGAUGCUCGAAAGUGUGGGUAUCAAACAGGAUUAGAUACCCGAGUAGUC
rnacentral:rRNA from 1 species